AGAGGGUGCAAGCGUUAAUCGGACUUACUGGGCGUAAAGGGUGCGUAGGCGGUGAUUUAAGUCAGUUGUGAAAGCCCAGGGCUUAACCUUGGAAUUGCAAUUGAAACUGGGUCACUAGAGUCGAGUAGAGGGGAGCGGAAUUUCCGGUGUAGCGGUGAAAUGCGUAGAUAUCGGAAGGAACAUCUGUGGCGAAGGCGGCUCCCUGGACUCAGACUGACGCUGAGGCACGAAAGCGUGGGUAGCGAACAGGGAUUAGAUACCCUGGUAGUCCACGCCGUAAACGAUGAGUACUAGCUGUUGGUGUCCUUGAGGCAUCAGUAGCGGAGCUAACGCAUUAAGUACUCCGCCUGGGAUUACGGCCGCAAGGCUA
rnacentral:rRNA from 1 species